rnacentral:lncRNA from 1 species
AGAGGAAGCAAAAGAUUCAGAGACAGCCCCACUCCCACUGUAAGGGGUCUCAUAAAAACACCACGAUCCACAGAAGACUUAGGUCAGAUCCACAUAGGCUCCCUGGUUGUCAGUUAGUCUCUGUGAGCUCCUAUGAGCCCUGCUUAGUUGAUUCUAUGUGUUCUCUUGUGGUAUCCUCCACCCUUCUAGCUCCUACAAUCCUCUCCCUCUUCUGCAGGAUUCCCUGAGCUCUGCCCAGUGUUUGGCGGUGGGUCUCUUCUGAUCAUGCAAAUCUUUCUCCUUUUGUUUUAAUGUUUUGUUUUUGUUUUUUUGAGACAGGGUUUCUCUGUGUAGUCCUAGCUGUUCUGCAACUAGCUCUGUAUAGCAGACUGGCCUAAAACUCAGGGAUCCUCCUGUCUUCAUCUCCAUCUUGUUCUGAGAUUAAGAGUGUGCCACCACACGCAGCUGAGUGAAACUCCUUUUAAAAGGGUUUCUUAAAGAGAACUAAUCUCUCUGAAGUAUCAUCAAGUGGAGUUUUCCUGUGAGUUGCCCAGGUGGACUUGAAUGGUUGAAUCCUCAUUCAGAGUAUCUGGGAAGUGUGAGUUCAUGAGGAUGGAAUAGCCAGCAUUCACAAACCAAGAUGCUUCAAAGAGCCUUCAUAAGCAGUGUAUACCACUGCCUGAUACCAGAGGCAUCCAUACUACCAAGUACUCAGUGGACAACGUUUAAGGAAACUGAAUCUAAUACUGGACUCAGAGGCCCAUGAUGAAAUCAUGAAGCUGCAGUGCUCAGUAGCAAACAGUGAGAGACACCAUAACUUUGGUCAAAACCAUGUGAAUUUACUUUGAAAAGUCCCAUCCCUCCCUGCCCACAUAGAAGGAAUGUCUGCACCUUGUCUGCAUAACCUGUUUGUAUUCCAACAA